rnacentral:rRNA from 1 species
GACGAACGCUGGCGUCGUGCUUAACACAUGCAAGUCGAACGGAAAGGCCCUGCUUUUGUGGGGUGCUCGAGUGGCGAACGGGUGAGUAACACGUGAGUAACCUGCCCUUGACUUUGGGAUAACUUCAGGAAACUGGGGCUAAUACCGGAUAGGAGCUCCUGCUGCAUGGUGGGGGUUGGAAAGUUUCGGCGGUUGGGGAUGGACUCGCGGCUUAUCAGCUUGUUGGUGGGGUAGUGGCUUACCAAGGCUUUGACGGGUAGCCGGCCUGAGAGGGUGACCGGCCACAUUGGGGCUGAGAUACGGCCCAGACUCCUACGGGAGGCAGCAGUGGGGAAUAUUGCACAAUGGGCGGAAGCCUGAUGCAGCAACGCCGCGUGCGGGAUGACGGCCUUCGGGUUGUAAACCGCUUUCGCCUGUGACGAAGCGUGAGUGACGGUAAUGGGUAAAGAAGCACCGGCUAACUACGUG